UGGAAAAAGAGGCAGCAUUUCGCGUGACCUCCAGACGCGUCACCCCUAGCUGGCUACGGUGGGCAAGACGACUGAAGAGGCAAUUGAUCCCUACAGCAAUUCAUGACUGUUAUGAACUCUCCCUCAUUUAAUGCAGGGUUGGGGACCAAACCCACUUGUAUACACACGUGACUGAAAUGGGGUAAACUCUGAACCUCCUGGCUCUCACAUAAAUUGCUAUUUUCUCUCGCUGAGCCUGAUCUUCCAUUACUGUACUGUAAAACUAGUAGUUGUAGUUGUAGUUGUAGUAGUAUUUGCAGUAAUGGCAGUAGUUUUGGUUCCUCAUGUUGUGUUCUCAAAACAACCUUAGAACCCAAACAAUUUUGGAUUAUUAAGUCCGAUUUAAUAGAUUACCAAGAAGUGGCUUAGAUUACACCGAUGGUUGACGUGGCUCACAUUUUCGAGUGAGAUGCGACAGAUUUUUGAGGUACUUAACAUAAAUGAGCUGAAUCUAGGGUCA